rnacentral:rRNA from 1 species
GAUGAACGCUGGCGGCGUGCCUAAUACAUGCAAGUCGAGCGAACAGAUGAGGAGCUUGCUCCUCUGACGUUAUCGGCGGACGGGUGAGUAACACGUGGAUAACCUACCUAUAAGACUGGGAUAACUUCGGGAAACCGGAGCUAAUACCGGAUAAUAUAUUGAACCGCAUGGUUCAAUAGUGAAAGACGGUUUUGCUGUCACUUAUAGAUGGAUCCGCGCCGCAUUAGCUAGUUGGUAAGGUAACGGCUUACCAAGGCUACGAUGCGUAGCCGCCCUGAGAGGGUGAUCGCCCACACUGGAACUGAGACACGGUCCACACUCCUACGGGGGGCAGCGGUAGGGAAUCUUCCGCAAAGGGGGAGAGCCUGACGGAGCAACGCCGCGUGAGUGAUGAUGGUCUUCGGAUCGUAAAGCUCUGUUAUUAGGGGAGAACAAAUGUGUAAGUAACUAUGCACGUCUUGACGGUACCUAAUCAGAAAGCCCCGGCUAACUACGUG